rnacentral:rRNA from 1 species
AGAGUUUGAUCAUGGCUCAGAACGAACCUGGCGGCGUGGAUUAGGCAUGCAAGUCGAACGCGAAAGAGGGGGAAACUCCUCGAGUAGAGUGGCGAACGGGUGAGUAACGCGUGAAGAACCUGCCUUCAACAGGGGGAUAACACUCCCAACGGGGUGCUAAUACCGCAUGAGACCACGGGUCUGCAUGGACCUGAGGUCAAAGGUGGCCUCUGCUUGCAAGCUACCGGUUGAAGAUGGCUUCGCGUCCCAUUAGCUAGUUGGCGGUGUAAAAGACCACCAAGGCGACGAUGGGUAGCUGGUCUGAGAGGAUGGUCAGCCACACUGGGACUGAGAUACGGCCCAGACUCCUACGGGAGGCAGCAGUCGAGAGGCUUUGGCAAUGGGGGAAACCCUGACCAAGCGACGCCGCGUGGAGGAUGAAGGCCUUUGGGUUGUAAACUCCUUUUGUCGGGGAAGAAACGCGGCCAGGUGAACAAUCUGGUCGUUUGACGGUACUCGGCGAAUAAGCUCCGGCUAACUCCGUGCCAGCAGCCGCGGUAACACGGGGGGAGCAAGCGUUGUUCGGAAUCACUGGGCGUAAAGGGCGUGUAGGCGGUCAGGUAAGUGGGAUGUGAAAUCCCUCGGCUCACCCGAGGACCUGCAUCCCAAACUGCCUGGCUUGAGUAUGGGAGAGGAUGAGGGAAUUCCUGGUGUAGCGGUGAAAUGCGUAGAUAUCAGGAGGAACACCGGUGGCGAAGGCGCUCAUCUGGGCCCAAUACUGACGCUGAGGCGCGAAAGCUAGGGGAGCAAACGGGAUUAGAUACCCCAGUAGUCC